AUGGGGACCCGCGACCUCCGACCCCGGGCUCCCGCCACCGAGCCGCGCCGCUUCUCUGCGAAGCGGGGGAGGAAGGAUCGGGCCGGGGGGGGGGGGGGGCCGAGGAGCGGAGGUCUCCGGCCGCCUCUCGGGUCCGGGUGCCUUCCGGGGGCGGCGGGGCCCGGCGGGCUGGGGCCCGGGCCCGGGAGGCGGGGGGUCCAGGCUUCUCUCCCCCGCUCCGUCCGCCGCUCGUCUGCCGCGCGGCCUCGGGCGGGUCACCCUUCCACCCGGGCGCUCGGUUCAGAGACGCGGCCUGGCCCAGCGGGCGACGGCGCCGACGGCGCCUGUCGGGCGCUUACUGCGCGACUGUGGGCAGGUCACUCCACUUCUCUGUGCCUCGGUGGCCUCGUCCGUAAAACGGGGAUUGAACGGGGCGCCUCACGCGGGACCGCCCGACGACCCCCGCAUCCCCCCCCGGCGCUUACAACGGUGCCCCGCACGGAGCGGGCGCUUAACGGAUACCGACAUCGUCGUCGUCGUCGUUAUUACGCGCCAAACCCCGGGUGGAGCCCGGUCUCGGGAACCCGAGGGUCACGGGUCCCGAUCCGUCGCCAGAUCGUUAUCCUCCCAUCUUCGCUCUUAUCGUUGGACGGUUCCGAGACCGUCUCCGUCAUCACCGAUCCCAGCUCGGGCGGCCGCCGGAGGCGGCGGGGCCCGGGGACCUCGCCUCUACGGCGGGGACGAGGGCCGCGGGCCCCACGUGGGACGGGGACCGCGCCCCGCCCGACUGGCUCGCGUCCGACCCCCGGCGCUUGGGACGGCGGCCGGCGCGGGGGCGCGGAGGCCGGGAGGCGUCGACGGGGACCCCCGGCCCUCCGGGCCGAGGGGGGGCGACCCACCUCGGAACGCGGCGGCGGACGGCGGGAGGCCCCCCGCUGGCAGGGCUUUGGUCAUGGGGGCCGAGGCGAAGGGGUCUUCGGGCGGGAGGCUGAAGGCGCUGGUGAUCUGGGAGCACAGCGAGCUGAUGCUCUCCCCUUCCCCUUCCGCUUCCGGCACUGCGGGGGCGGAGAGACCCGGCCGUCGGGAACCGCCAUCGGCCGCUCGCGCGCGGGGCGCCGACGGGGAGCCCGGACGGACGAGCGCCCGCCCGACAUUUGGGGUUCUCCCCCCUUCGGGGUGUCCGUUGAGCGCUCGCUACGGGCCGGGGACCGUGCCGGGCGCGCCGGAGCCGAUCUGGGCGGACACGGUCCGUGGCCCCCCCCGCCCCGCCGCGACCGUGGGGCGCGCGGUCUCGAUCCCCCGUUCCACGGAUGCGGUGACCGAGGCCCAGGGGAGCGGGGUGGGGCGGAGCCGGGAUUAGAACCCGGGCCCGGGCUCCUUCCGCCGGGCCGCGCUGCUUCCCGACCGAAACCGAUCCCCUCUUCCGGGAAGGGACCCCGGGGGGGCGGGGGGGGGGGGGCGGCCUCCGGAUCCUCACCGUCCACCUCGACGACAGGGAUCGAUCGACCGAUCGACCGCUGGUGUUUACGGAGCGCUCACUAG
rnacentral:lncRNA from 1 species